rnacentral:rRNA from 1 species
UACGUAGGAUGCAAGCGUUGUCCGGAAUUAUUGGGCGUAAAGAGUUCGUAGGCGGUUGCCUAAGUCUGUUGUUAAAGGCCUGAGCUCAACUCGGGUAUGGCAAUGGAUACUGGGCAGCUAGAGUGUGGUAGAGGUCACGGGAAUUCCAGGUGUAGCGGUGAAAUGCGUAGAUAUCGGGAGGAACACCAGUGGCGAAGGCGGCUUCCUGGCCUGUUCUUGACGCUGAGGCGCGAAAGCUAGGGGAGCAAACGGG